rnacentral:rRNA from 1 species
GACGAACGCUGGCGGCGUGCCUAAUACAUGCAAGUAGAACGCUGAAGAGAGGAGCUUGCUCUUCUUGGAUGAGUUGCGAACGGGUGAGUAACGCGUAGGUAACCUGCCUGGUAGCGGGGGAUAACUAUUGGAAACGAUAGCUAAUACCGCAUAAAAUUGAUUAUUGCAUGAUAAUUAAUUGAAAGAUGCAACUGCAUCACUACCAGAUGGACCUGCGUUGUAUUAGCUAGUUGGUGAGGUAACGGCUCACCAAGGCGACGAUACAUAGCCGACCUGAGAGGGUGAUCGGCCACACUGGGACUGAGACACGGCCCAGACUCCUACGGGAGGCAGCAGUAGGGAAUCUUCGGCAAUGGGGGGAACCCUGACCGAGCAACGCCGCGUGAGUGAAGAAGGUUGUCGGAUCGUAAAGCUCUGUUGUAAGAGAAGAACGGGUGUGAGAGUGGAAAGUUCACACUGUGACGGUAUCUUACCAGAAAGGGACGGCUAACUACGUG